rnacentral:misc_RNA from 1 species
GAUGAAGAACGUAGCGAAAUGCGAUAACUAAUGUGAAUUGCAGAAUUCAGUGAAUCAUCGAGUCUUUGAACGCACAUUGCGCCCCCUGGUAUUCCGGGGGGCAUGCCUGUCCGAGUGUCAUUGCUGCCCUCAAGCACGGCUUGUGUGUUGGGCUCCGUCCCCCCGGGGACGGGCCCGAAAGGCAGCGGCGGCACCGAGUCCGGUCCUCGAGCGUAUGGGGCUUUGUCACCCGCUCUGUAGGCCCGGCCGGCGCCAGCCGACAACCCAUCAUCCUUUUCAGGUUGACCUCGGAUCAGGUAGGGAUACCCGCUGAACUUAAGCAUAUCAAUAAGCGGAGGA